rnacentral:rRNA from 1 species
AACCCGCCCACAUGAAGUCGGAGUUGCUAGUAAUCGCGGAUCAGCAUGCCGCGGUGAAUACGUUCCCGGGCCUUGUACACACCGCCCGUCACACCAUGGGAGUUGGGAGUGCCCAAAGCCGGUGAGGCAACCGAAAGGAGCCAGCCGUCUAAGGCAAGACCAAUGACUGGGGUGAAGUCGUAACAAGGUAAC